rnacentral:misc_RNA from 1 species
GUUUUGCCGGGGAUAUUUUCUCCACCGUCAUAAAUGGUGAGGACAAGGGCGCUCCUUCAAGAUGGGGGCCCGCGGCGACGCGUCGCGUCCUCCACUCCGAAACUCGCGCCGCCAUGUUCCUGCCGCAACCNGGGAGCUCAGGGCGACAUUCCCGUUUGAUAUAUGAUGUACAUCAUAUAAAAAGCCCGAAAGGGGAUCUUCAGAUGACCAUUGUGAAUGUCGGCAGCGACGAGUUGAUCUCAACGCGCAAAACUCCAUCGAUGCUCGCGCGCAUCAGCGUACUCGCAGCCCUG